GGGCGUUUAGCGCAGUGGUAGCGCGCAUGCUUUGCAUCGGCACGCGGUCAACGCGUAACGACUGCUCCCAGCAGAAACUUGUAUGAGGCCCAGGGUUCAAUCCCCUGAACGUCCA